rnacentral:rRNA from 1 species
UACGGAGGGUGCAAGCGUUGCUCGGAAUUAUUGGGCGUAAAGGGUAGGUAGGUGGUCUCAUUUGUCUGGGGUGAAAGCCUUGAGCUUAACUCAAGAAGUGCCCCAGAAACGGUGAGACUAGAGUCCUGGAGAGGGUCGUGGAAUUCCCGGUGUAGCGGUGAAAUGCGUAGAGAUCGGGAGGAACACCAGAGGCGAAGGCGGCGACCUGGACAGGAACUGACACUCAACUACGAAAGCGUGGGGAGCAAACAGG